rnacentral:rRNA from 1 species
AUGAUUCCGAAAAUCAACUCACCGGAGUUGCUUUCACAAUUCAGACCGAUCAGUUUAUGUAAUGUGCUCUAUAAAAUAGCCACAAAGGUGUUGGCAAACAGAUUAAAAGGCUCACUUCCUCUUUUGAUCUCGCAG